rnacentral:lncRNA from 1 species
GCUAGAUAAAGAAGUACUGAAGGCUACAAUAAUUUGGGAAGAUCUCACAACAGACUCCAUACAAGUAGUUCCUCCACAACUGCGCAUAACUCUAAAUCAUAGGUAGGAUAAUUCAUCUUAUGAGGCUUUAAUUGACGAUAUGAAUAAGCAAUCACCUUGACCUCCUGCAUAAAUACAACACCUAAACCAACACCUAAAGCAUCACA